GAUUUGGGAGGAAAAUACUGAAGAGUGAAUGCAUCUAUUCAAACAGGAGAUUUCUAAAUGCGUACUGAUUUGGAAUGGAAGCAGUGAAUAAAUGAAAUGGAUACUGAGAGCUAGAGAUCAAGAGAUAGAUGCGGGAGAAAAAGCAAGAAAGAGAUGACCAUGGAACUGGACUGAGUGCAUAUAAACAUAAAGCUUGGAGACGGAUUUAGUAGCUGAAGAGAGAAUGGAGAGCAGUGCAGAAAGAUAUUGCGUUUCAGGGGAGGCAAUAUUAAACGUUAUUGGGUCGGAUUUGUAUCCCCAGGAGAGAAAAAAAUCUCGAUUUUAGGUUUUCAGAUCGACUGGCCUACAGUGAACUGCUGAAUAAGAGGCAGGUCAAGAGGUGAAACAUCCUGAGGUGAUGGUUUUUGACGUGUCCGAUGAACAGGUAAAUAACCAGAAGAAAGCCACCAUUGUCUGCCUGGCCCAUGGCUUUUUCCCAGGCUACGUGAAGUUCUCCUGGACCACGAAUGGCAAGGAGGUCACGGGAAAGAAUGUGGUGACGGACAUACCUGCUCAGGACAAUUCUGGCCACUAUAGCGCGACCAGUAGGCUUACCGUCCCAGCGACCGAAUGGGGACAAAUGGAGUAUUCGUGCAAAGUGACCCAUUACCGCAAAGAUGGCCAAGAGCUACACUGGGAGAAACCAAUCAGCAGUAGGAGAGGACUAUGUGAAGGAAAAGUGAAGCGGAUGCAGAAACAACAGAUUUUAGCAAAAACUACCUAUAUUUUACUCAUCUCCAAGAGCAUCGUAUACAUGACCACAGUCAGCAUCCUGCUGUUCAAGAUGAAGUUUUCGGGAAAGCUGGCAAAAUGUUACGAUUGACUGAGCUGGGACAGAAGAAAAUCAUGAAACAAAUCAUGGUUCAGAUCGUAUCCCUCAAAACUAUCCAGAAGAAAGAGAGAAAUAAAAUUUAUUUGUAACGUUCACACAUUGUCAGUUUCUAUUGUUGAUCCAUGUUUUGCUAUUUUAUGUAUCUGGAAUGUUAUCAAGAUGGAAAAUAAAGAGUUGUCAAACACUUAGGAUUACAAAAUGUUAGUGUUUCUGUCUAAAGUCCUCCUUCUUUAUUUUCUCACUUGGUAACUUGUUGGCAGAGGGCGUUUACAUUUUGUAAAUGGUUUGAUCAGUUCAGAUUUUCCCUUUUGCUCAAAAAAGUACUUUUGAUUAUAUUGAAUUAUUUGGAUAUCUAUUUCCUUUGCUGUCUCUUUUGUGUUUAGUCACUAGAAUUGUUAAUAAACAAAAUAUUGAUAUA